UACGGGGGGGGGCAAGCGUUGUUCGGAAUUACUGGGCGUAAAGGGCUCGUAGGCGGCCAACUAAGUCAGACGUGAAAUCCCUCGGCUUAACCGGGGAACUGCGUCUGAUACUGGAUGGCUUGAGGUUGGGAGAGGGAUGCGGAAUUCCAGGUGUAGCGGUGAAAUGCGUAGAUAUCUGGAGGAACACCGGUGGCGAAGGCGGCAUCCUGGACCGGCAUUGACGCUGAGGCGCGAAAGCUAGGGGAGCAAACGGG
rnacentral:rRNA from 1 species